rnacentral:rRNA from 1 species
UACGGAGGGUGCAAGCGUUAUCCGGAUUCACUGGGUUUAAAGGGUGCGUAGGCGGAUGUGAAAGUCAGUGGUGAAAUCUCAGAGCUUAACUCUGAAACUGCCAUUGAUACUCUGCAUCUUGAAUUUUCUGGAGGUUAGCGGAAUAUGUCAUGUAGCGGUGAAAUGCUUAGAUAUGACAUAGAACACCGAUUGCGAAGGCAGCUGACUACGGAUGAAUUGACGCUGAGGCACGAAAGCGUGGGGAUCAAAC